GGCGCAUUUUGGCGUCAACGUUUAGUUGAACCUUUUCAGUUCAACAAUUCUGAGGAGUUAACGCUAAAAUGGAAUUCAACGUUGAUGGUUAACUGUCCAGCUUAACCACUGUGUGGACGGUAAAAUGACAGUUGUUGUCAAAUUAUUUCCGCUAGGUGGCUGUCAAAUAUUUCCACUGGUUAUUUUUCUCAAAAGCCAUUGUUCUGAAAGUGACAGUAAAUACAAUUUUUUAAAACUCUCUAAACUCUACUAAAACUAUUUGCAAAAUGGCAGAUAAAAGAACACUUUGUCUUUUUCUGUCACAAUAUGUUUUUGAUGGCAUUCAAUCAUCCAGUGAGGAAAGUGAUUCUGAUUCAGAGGAUACAGAAUUGCUUACUGUUAUCGGAUCCACCGAAAUGGAGCGUCAUCCUCGUCAAGUUGGAUACCUGAACGUGGUAUCUGUAUACUCUGAUGCAGAUUUUUUCAAACACUUCAGGGAGAUCUUUUCUACGGUGGAAAGCUGGACGAGGAAUAUCUAAAUUGCAACGUGAACAACCAACCGUAUGCUGUAGGUGUGAUAGAUCGCUUGGCUGAAAGAAAACGGCAACAAAUCUGUGACUCCCUACAAUGAAGACAAAAAUAAAAAUUUGUUAUCAAUCCAUAAACUGAAAUAAAGUACGCAUUGUUCUUCAUUGUAA